UUUGACAUGUACGGAAUUUGCCAGAGAUGGCUUAGUGCUCGAAAGAGAGCCGUAACACAGGUGCUGCAUGGCUGUCGUCAGCUCGUGUCGUGAGAUGUUGGGUUAAGUCCCGCAACGAGCGCAACCCUUGUCAUUAGUUGCUACGAAAGGGCACUCUAAUGAGACUGCCGGUGACAAACCGGAGGAAGGUGGGGAUGACGUCAAGUCCUCAUGGCCCUUAUAGGUGGGGCUACACACGUCAUACAAUGGCCGGUACAAAGGGUCGCAAACCCGCGAGGGGGAGCCAAUCCAUCAAAGCCGGUCGUAGUCCGGAUCGCAGUCUGCAACUCGACUGCGUGAAGUCGGAAUCGCUAGUAAUCGUGGAUCAGCAUGUCACGGUGAAUACGUUCCCGGGUCUUGUACACACCGCCCGUCACACCAUGAGAGCGGGUCUCGCCAGAAGUAGUUAGCCUAACCGCAAGGAGGGCGAUUACCACGGCGGGGUUCGUGAC
rnacentral:rRNA from 1 species